rnacentral:rRNA from 1 species
UACGAAGGGGGCUAGCGUUGUUCGGAAUUACUGGGCGUAAAGGGCGCGUAGGCUGUGCUGUAAGUCAGGCGUGAAAUCCCCGGGCUCAACCUGGGAAUUGCGUUUGAUACUGCGGCGCUGGAAUGCAGGAGAGGAUGGCGGAAUUCCCAGUGUAGAGGUGAAAUUCGUAGAUAUUGGGAAGAACACCAGUGGCGAAGGCGGCUAACUGGUCCAGUACUGACGCUGAGGUGCGAAAGCGUGGGGAGCAAACAGG